rnacentral:rRNA from 1 species
ACUCCGUGCCAGCAGCCGCGGUAAUACGGAGGGGGUUAGCGUUGUUCGGAAUUACUGGGCGUAAAGCGCACGUAGGCGGAUUAGAAAGUUGGGGGUGAAAUCCCGGGGCUCAACCUCGGAACUGCCUCCAAAACUGCUAGUCUAGAGUUCGAGAGAGGUGAGUGGAAUUCCGAGUGUAGAGGUGAAAUUCGUAGAUAUUCGGAGGAACACCAGUGGCGAAGGCGGCUCACUGGCUCGAUACUGACGCUGAGGUGCGAAAGUGUGGGGAGCAAACAGGAUUAGAUACCCUGGUAGUCCACACCGUAAACGAUGAAUGCCAGUCGUCGGGUAGUAUACUAUUCGGUGACACACCUAACGGAUUAAGCAUUCCGCCUGGGGAGUACGGUCGCAAGAUUAAAACUCA